rnacentral:rRNA from 1 species
GACGAACCGAGCGAACGUUGUUCGGAAUCACUGGGCUUAAAGGGCGCGUAGGCGGGCUGUCAAGUCUGGGGUGAAAUCCCACGGCUCAACCGUGGAACUGCCUUAGAUACUGACGGCCUCGAGGGAGAUAGGGGCGAGCGGAACUGUGAGUGGAGCGGUGAAAUGCGUUGAUAUUCACAGGAACUCCGGUGGCGAAGGCGGCUCGCUGGAUCUUUUCUGACGCCGAGGCGCGAAAGCUAGGGGAGCAAACGGG